rnacentral:rRNA from 1 species
GACGAACGCUGGCGGCGUGCUUAACACAUGCAAGUCGAACGGAAAGGCCCGGCUUGCUGGGUACUCGAGUGGCGAACGGGUGAGUAACACGUGGGUGAUCUGCCUUGCACUCUGGGAUAAGCCUGGGAAACUGGGUCUAAUACCGGAUAUGACCAACUGUCGCAUGGUGGUUGGUGGAAAGCUUUUGCGGUGUGGGAUGGGCCCGCGGCCUAUCAGCUUGUUGGUGGGGUAAUGGCCUACCAAGGCGACGACGGGUAGCCGACCUGAGAGGGUGAUCGGCCACACUGGGACUGAGACACGGCCCAGACUCCUACGGGAGGCAGCAGUGGGGAAUAUUGCACAAUGGGCGCAAGCCUGAUGCAGCGACGCCGCGUGAGGGAUGACGGCCUUCGGGUUGUAAACCUCUUUCACCAGGGACGAAGCGUGAGUGACGGUACCUGGAGAAGAAGCACCGGCCAACUACGUGCCAGCAGCCGCCGUAAGAC